CUUCACCAGCAAAGGCAACCGACAGUGUGGAGGGUGAAAAUGCCCCAACAACAGCUGAGCAUUGGUCUUCUGGCUUCUGUUCUAAUAGAACUUCAUGUGAAACAUUACCAGCAGUGGAGACAGUUUCAUCUAGUGAGGAUAACGAGAUCCCUCAAACGCACAAAAAACAGGUCACCACCCACACAGCAUGGGGAGUCCUCUGGAAUCUGUUCCGGUAGGGGCCCUACAAAAGGCAAAGCAAAAAGAAUGCCAUGGACGCAAUCAGAGGUUGAGGCUGUGGAGAAACACAUGAUCCGCUUCAUCCAUUCUUGCGUGGUACCAUCAAAGCUGGAUUGUGAGAAAUGCAUCAGAGCUGAACAAGAGGCUCUUAACAACCGGACUUGGCAGAAUGUUAAAUUCUUUGUGCAUAAUCGCAUUACAGCGUACAAAAAAAAGUUCUUAGUAAAUGUUGAGUAAAUGUUGAAUGUAUACUGGCACUAUAGGUUCAUGCAAAAAUGUAAAGUUUGAGUCUGUCCUGUCACUUUUUUUGUUGUUUGCUGCUGUUGUAAGUAAUUGUCAGCUGUUUUAUUAAAACGUUCAGUUAAACAAUUCAUAGGAGUUUAAAACUUAUAUUUCAUGUAAAAAUGUCCACUCUGUUAGGUUAGGUUACUAAUAUUUUGAAAUCUUUUUAUACACUAAUCUUUCAGGUGAGUUAUCUAAUAAUCUAAGCUAUAGUUAUUAGGUCCCCAGAACUCAUGAUGAAGUGUUAACUAUGCAAAUUCUAUGCAAAUUGGGUUCCCACAACACAUGUUUAAUGUUUUUUCCGGAUGUCCCCAAAAAGCAUGAUUAGAAAGUCUACAUUCAGAAAUUUCAGAAUUGUGAGUAUCUGAAUGUGUGUAUGAGCUCCCUGCGUAAUGGCCAAUUUACCUGAUUUUUUUUCAAACCUGUAGCCCUUCGGGAAAGGGUAGUCCCCGAAAGGGAUGCUUAAACAAGUCGUCCCCACAACCCGUGAAAACCUGUGUGUGUGUGUGUGUGUGUGUGUGUGUGUAUUUAAGACAAUUGCUUCUGUCUUAAAUCCCACACAAUCGUGUUGCUUGAAACCUUGUGCGGAGAUGUGCAAUAAAUAAAAAAUGAGAUCCGGGAAUGGUGGAACU
rnacentral:lncRNA from 1 species